GGUGUGUGAAAAGCCUUUGGUUGUAAAGCACUUUAAGCGAGGAGGAGGCUACUUUAGAUAAUACCUAGAGAUAGUGGACGUUACUCGCAGAAUAAGCACCGGCUAACUCUGUGCCAGCAGCCGCGGUAAUACAGAGGGUGCAAGCGUUAAUCGGAUUUACUGGGCGUAAAGCGCGCGUAGGCGGCUAAUUAAGUCAAAUGUGAAAUCCCCGAGCUUAACUUGGGAAUUGCAUUCGAUACUGGUUAGCUAGAGUGUGGGAGAGGAUGGUAGAAUUCCAGGUGUAGCGGUGAAAUGCGUAGAGAUCUGGAGGAAUACCGAUGGCGAAGGCAGCCAUCUGGCCUAACACUGACGCUGAGGUGCGAAAGCAUGGGGAGCAAACAGGAUUAGAUACCCUGGUAGUCCAUGCCGUAAACGAUGUCUACUAGCCGUUGGGGCCUUUGAGGCUUUAGUGGCGCAGCUAACGCGAUAAGUAGACGCCUGGGGAGUACGGUCGCAAGACUUAAAAUCCAAUGAAUUGACGGGGGCCCGC
rnacentral:rRNA from 1 species